AAAUAGAACUUUGCAGAGAGAGUUAAGAGGGCGUGAAACCGUUAAUUGGCAAACGAAUCGGAGCCACGAAGUCGUUUCGUCGAGCUAGGUCGGGUUCAGCUUGCAACCUUCGGGUUGCUGGCGUAUUCUCGUGCCAAGCCAAUGUAAGCGUACACUGCAACCAGUUAGACAAUUGUCCAUGGAACCAGUUGAUCUUGGAUGCGCAAGCAUCUAAGUUUAGCGAACGGUUUGUUUGGUCAGGUUAGUAGUAGUGUGCUGUGGACUUGUCCUCAGUGUGCUGCUGGAUCUGUUGCCAAGUGACCUAUGGGCAAAUACUGACUGGCAAAAUGAAAAUCGCGCGCAAGCGUGUGCACAAAUUGCGCCUUGUUGUAUGAUAGGCUACACAAUCCACCGUGGAUAUAUUAAAGUGCGGUGCUUUUGAAUUUGGACUUGCUAGCUACCAAUGGGGCAACUCUUGGUGCUAGUAUAGCUUCCAUCUAAUCGGGUGCUGGCUUGUAUUCACGUCGUUGUGGUUGUGCUACGAUCGGUCUACAUAUAAGCGAGUGCGUGAAAAUUGGCAGUGAGUAGGUCGGCUUUCCGAACGA
rnacentral:rRNA from 1 species